UACGGGGGGGGCAAGCGUUGUUCGGAAUUACUGGGCGUAAAGGGCGCGUAGGCGGCCUUCUAAGUCGGACGUGAAAUCCCUCGGCUUAACCGAGGAACUGCGUCCGAUACUGAAAGGCUUGAAUCCGGGAGAGGGAUGUGGAAUUCCAGGUGUAGCGGUGAAAUGCGUAGAUAUCUGGAGGAACACCAAUGGCGAAGGCAGCACUCUGGGACGUGACUGACGCUGAGACGCGAAAGCGUGGGGAGCAAACAGG
rnacentral:rRNA from 1 species